UUUGUGCAGCUUCUUUCUUCGCCUAUGACGACCCUGCUAAUCUGGGAAGCAACACUGAUUCUAGCGCAGGAUAUCUCUACCUUAUGAUAGACAGUCCAUUCCAAGUGACUUGUUGUGGUGCGACGUCUUCGUGGGAAUUUUUUGCAAAGGACUUUGGAAUAGUAGAGAUGAUGAUUUUCCGGAAAUCGUCUGAAACUAAUUAUCGGCUGAUUGGAUCUACAAGAAUUAUAGUUCCAGACGAAUAUGUUGACACGUUAGUUACGUUUUCCUUGAUAGCGACAGAAAGGAUAGCAAUAGUUGCAGGAGAUGUUAUAGG